UACAGAGGGGGCAAGCGUUGUUCGGAAUUACUGGGCGUAAAGGCGCGUAGGCGGCCUGUUAAGUCGAACGUGAAAUCCCCGGGCUCAACCCGGGAACCUGCGUCCGAUACUGGCAGGCUUGAAUCCGGGGAGAGGGAUGCGGAAUUCCAGGUGUAGCGGUGAAAUGCGUAGAUAUCUGGAGGAACACCGGUGGCGAAGGCGGCAUCCUGGACCGGCAUUGACGCUGAGGCGCGAAAGCCAGGGAGCAAACGGGAUAG
rnacentral:rRNA from 1 species